rnacentral:rRNA from 1 species
GACGAACGCUGGCGGCGUGCUUAACACAUGCAAGUCGAACGGUAAGGCCCUUCGGGGUACACGAGUGGCGAACGGGUGAGUAACACGUGGGUGAUCUGCCCUGCACUUCGGGAUAAGCCUGGGAAACUGGGUCUAAUACCGGAUAGGACCCUGGGAUGCAUGUCCUGGGGUGGAAAGCUUUUGCGGUGUGGGAUGGGCCCGCGGCCUAUCAGCUUGUUGGUGGGGUGAUGGCCUACCAAGGCGACGACGGGUAGCCGGCCUGAGAGGGUGACCGGCCACACUGGGACUGAGACACGGCCCAGACUCCUACGGGAGGCAGCAGUGGGGAAUAUUGGGCAAUGGGCGGAAGCCUGACCCAGCAACACCGCGUGAAGGAAGAAGGCCCUCGGGUUGUAAACUUCUUUUAACAGGGACGAAACAACUGACGGUACCUGUUGAAUAAGCCACGGCUAACUACGUGCCAGCCGCCGCCGUAA